rnacentral:rRNA from 1 species
CUGAUCCAGCCAUGCCGCGUGAGUGAAGAAGGCCCUAGGGUUGUAAAGCUCUUUCAUUGGGGAAGAUAAUGACGGUAACCGGAGAAGAAGCCCCGGCUAACUUCGAGCCAGCAGCCGCGGAAAUACUCCGGGCCAGCAGCCG